GGGCGGUUAGUGCUAGCGGGAACACGGCCGGCCUGCACCCGGCAAUCGGGAGUUCGAUUCUCCCACCGUCCACCA
rnacentral:tRNA from 1 species